ensembl:vault_RNA Vault Vault RNA
GGGCCGGCCCAGCCCAGCGGUUCCUUCGAAAACAUUCGCAUUGGCAAUGUUAACUGUUAGCAGUUCGAGCCCCGCGGGCGCUGCCUGGCCUUUUG